rnacentral:rRNA from 1 species
GAUGAACGCUGGCGGCGUGCCUAAUACAUGCAAGUCGAGCGAACGGACGAGAAGCUUGCUUCUCUGAUGUUAGCGGCGGACGGGUGAGUAACACGUGGAUAACCUACCUAUAAGACUGGGAUAACUUCGGGAAACCGUAGCUAAUACCGGAUAAUAUUUUGAACCGCAUGGUUCAAAAGUGAAAGACGGUCUUGCUGUCACUUAUAGAUGGAUCCGCGCUGCAUUAGCUAGUUGGUAAGGUAACGGCUUACCAAGGCAACGAUGCAUAGCCGACCUGAGAGGGUGAUCGGCCACACUGGAACUGAGACACGGUCCAGACUCCUACGGGAGGCAGCAGUAGGGAAUCUUCCGCAAUGGGCGAAAGCCUGACGGAGCAACGCCGCGUGAGUGAUGAAGGUCUUCGGAUCGUAAAACUCUGUUAUUAGGGAAGAACAUAUGUGUAAGUAACUGUGCACAUCUUGACGGUACCUAAUCAGAAAGCCACGGCUAACUACGUA